UUUAGAAUUGUGUGUGUAUUUUUUGGCAGUAUCCUAAUAUCCCUAACUUUUAGAUAGAAACUUAUAAUUAGCAUAGAAAGAUUUUUCUUAAUUAGACGAAUUUAACCACACCUAGUUUAUGGGGUUGCAAAUGAUUUAUAACAUAUAUAAGGAUUCUACAAUAUAAAUUUUAUGUAACUGGUUCUUUAUGUUGUUAAACAAAAGAGGUUAACCAUUCAAAGAACUAGUCUUGACUCUUUUGAAGAGAUUGAUUUAGAAGUAAAGACCAGAUGUCAGCGUACGCAGACAAAGAAAUCAAAAUUAAUACCGAAUUCCAUCAUAAGAACAUUUCAAUCAGAAUGGCUAACAAAUAAAGAUUUUAAAGGAUGGCUUAUUAAGAAAAAGAAACCUGAUGACAGUUCUUAUUGUGCCUUUUGCAAGGCUUGUUCCGUCUUCAUUAUGAACAAAAAUAUAACAUCACUGUUCAUAUGAAGCCAUCCAGCCACAAAAAGGCGAUGGAGGAAGUCGUGUCAAAGCAAAAGCAGCAGAACAACCUUGCAUAAUUCAUUGAUAAUAUCCUCUCUAAAAAUAUUACCUCCUUGGAAUUAAGGUUGUGUUUUUUCGUAGCAGAACACAACCUUGCCCUGUCAUCGGCUGACCAUAUCCUGCAACUUUUAGAAUCAGAAUUACCUGACAAUCCCAUUCUCUCUCGUGCCACAAUGGGAAUAACGAAAACUUCUAACUACGUACGGGAAGCUAUCGAAAAAUAUGUGACGAAUGACUUGGCAGAUAGAGCAAGGAAAAGUUUUUUUCUCUCAUAUAAUUGACGAAAGCACAGAUAUUUCGGUGAAAAAUAAAAUGGUGUUGCUGGUUUUAUUUUUUGGCGUCAAAAUGUACGCAGAGCUUUUGGAAUUGGCGUGUUGCAAAGAUGCCACUGCCGAAGGGCUAACGACAGCCCUGCUUGACAUACUAAAGCAAUUUAAUAUCACUUAAUGUCAAAUAGUAGUGUUCUGUGCGGAUACGUGCAACACAAUGUUUGGAAAGCACAAUUUUGUAUCUCAAAAAUUAAAAAAAAAAAUUCCUCA